UAGAAAGUGAUUAAACAAGGCCCGAGUUUUCUGUCAGGCUCAGUAGAGCCGAAGACAUUGAAAGGAAACAUCCCCCGACUGAGUCGUUUAUCGUUAAUAGUGAUGGAUAUAAUUGUCAACGCGUGUUAUUAUAAUAUAUUCUUUUUAUUAUUAUUCUUUAGACUGUUAGACGGUCAUUCGACUUUAAUUAUAGGUCAAGAUGUGCAAUGCGAAAAAGAAGGGGAAGAAGUUAAAGUUAAAAGUAUUUCUGAUAAUCCUUGCUUUACUUGCAAGUGUCAAAAAGGAGUCGUCGUAUGCGAACAGCAAAUAUGUCCCUAUGCCAAGGGGUGCUACUUUUUAGCAUUUGGAGAGAGCCGGUCCUGUUGCGACGUUUGUUUAAGUUGUAACCACGAAGGCGUAUCUCACAAUAGUGGAUCGGAGUGGAUAAGUUCGAAAAAUUCGUGUUUAACUUAUUCGUGUCAGUCUGGUAUCAUAACUGAAUCUACCAUACAUUGUCAAACAUCGUGUCGUCACCCCAUUCCUCCAGAACCUAACGAAUGUUGCCCGAGAUGCCAGGGUUGUCAAAUUAAUGGAAUAAAUUACACAGACGGUCAAACAGUUCCUUCUGAUUCUUCAGAUCCUUGUCUUACAUGUAGCUGUCAGAAAGGAAAUGUUGUUUGUAAGAAAAAGGCCUGUCCAGUUUUGCCUUGUCCGCAGACCAAGUUCGUCCAUAAACCUAACUCUUGUUGUCCGGAAUGCCGAGGCGCUCGAAAGAUUUCCGAUUUUAAAGAUAAAUGUUUAAUCGGUUUGGACAUCCAUAAAAAUGGAGACUCUUUCGUUUAUGAUCAAUGUACUCAGUGUUCCUGUAAUACGUCGACGACUUUUUGUAAGCGUCAAGUAUGUCCACCAUUGGAAUGUCCUCCUUCUUAUCAGAUAAAAGAACCGGAGCAAUGUUGUCCCUAUUGUCAACGCCCGGAAGAGAGAAAGACCGUUUGUAGGUCAGGUGGUCAAAUAUAUCAGAACGGACAACACUGGCAAAAUGGUUGUUCUAACUGUUACUGCCUUCAAGGGAAAGUCAGAUGUUCUGUUGAGUUUUGUAAAACUUCUAAUAAAUGUCCCGCUGGCCAGAAAUUAGUCCAUUUACCUAAAAAAUGUUGUCCAGUUUGCGUCGAAGACGAUGGUGUAUGUACGGUGUUCGGAGAUCCGCAUUACAGAACAUUCGAUGGGAGGACAUUUAAUUUUCAAGGAACGUGCAAAUAUACUUUGAUCAACGAUUGUGCUCAUAAAAGAUUUACAGUUCAAGUAGCGAACGAAGCCAGAUAUUCUAAGAUGUUUUCGUGGACAAAAUCUAUAAUUUUGAAGAUAGACGAUACUAAAUUAGUAUUGGGACAAUAUAGAAAUAUCAAAAUUGGAAAGAAGCGUGUCAGACUCCCUUAUAUUAAGCUAGGAACUUUAUCGGUUGUAGAACAAAAUUAUACAGUUACCGUCAGAACUAAUUUAGGAAUUCGUUUAAAUUGGGAUGGAAAUAGUUAUUUAGAAGUGUUCGUGCCUUCUCACUUUAAAAAUCAGUUGUGCGGAUUGUGUGGUAAUUAUAACGAUAAUCCGGAAGAUGAUUUCACUACGAAGAAAGGAAAACUGGUUUCUAGCCCGGAAGUUUUUGGAAAUUCGUGGGCGGUCGGUCGAGGAAAGAAAUGCUUAAUAUCGAAAUCUCUGCAGACCACGCAUGCCGCUUGUGAAAGUAACUUAAACACAAAGGUUAAAGCCAUUUACGAAUGCAACGUUUUAAAAUCAGAUCUGUUCCGUCCCUGCCAUAGUACAGUGAAUGCCAUGCCUUACUAUAGAUCGUGUGUGAUGGACAUGUGCGAAUGCCCGAUUGGCAGGAAGUGCCAUUGCGAGUCACUUUUCGCCUACGCUCAGCAUUGUAAACGAUUAGGAAUACAGUUAAAUUGGAGAAAGGAUUCUGGAUGCGAAGGAAGCCAUUGUCCAAAAGGAUCGGUGUAUAGAAGUUGUGUUUAUCCGUGUCGUAAAACCUGCAAAAACUAUCAACGAGCAAAGCCAUGCCGAAGAAAAUGUAGACCAGGUUGCGAAUGUGCAGAGGGUACAGUAUGGUAUAGAAAUAAAUGUAUUCCAACACAGCUGUGUCCAGUAUAACUAAAAGAAAAGAAUUUCCGUUUCAUUUCAUUUACCAGCAGGUCUGGUAUUUCAAUUUAUUUUAUAAGCAAUGUUUAUUUCAUCUGUUUUCUUUGGUGAGAAGUUCCUUUAUAUUGAGCGUGCCUGUGCCUUUAUUUUAUAAACUACUGCGAUAAAAAGGCUCUAAAUAAUGAAUUUUUAUUGAAAAAAAGGGCUGGUUCCUUCGAUUAAAAAGGAGAGACGAGAAGUACAAAAUGUAAAUUGUGAUAACCGAAGAGAUUCGUUAGAUUUUUGACAGAAAUGAACCUUAUUUGGUAUUAACACGCACACGAAAUGUUAAUAUAUAUUACUAUUCACAGUUAUGACGACUGAUAAGGCUUGAAUGAUGGUUCCAAGGUAUGAAGAUACCCAAGUAAAUUGCUUUUACUACAAAGUUGAAAUGAAUUAAUUCAUUAUAUUCAUAUAUACUUCAAACUCCAUUUUUGUCUUAAUUAAUAUGUGAAUGAACUUCAAGUUUCCAAUUACCAAGU
rnacentral:misc_RNA from 1 species